UACGAAGGGGGCAAGCGUUGUUCGGAAUUACUGGGCGUAAAGGGCGCGUAGGCGGCUUAUCAAGUCAGGCGUGAAAUUCCCGGGCUCAACCUGGGGGCUGCGCUUGAUACUGGCAGGCUUGAAUCCGGGAGAGGGAUGCGGAAUUCCAGGUGUAGCGGUGAAAUGCGUAGAUAUCUGGAGGAACACCGGUGGCGAAGGCGGCAUCCUGGACCGGCAUUGACGCUGAGGCGCGAAAGCCAGGGGAGCAAACGGG
rnacentral:rRNA from 1 species